rnacentral:rRNA from 1 species
ACGGGGUGCAGCAGGCGCGAAAACUCCGCAAUGUUCGAAAGAACGACGGGGGAACUCCAAGUGCACUUGCGCAAGCAAGUGGUUUUUAGUAGUGUAAAUAGCUGUUAGAAUAAGAGCUGGGUAAGACCGGUGCCAGCCGCCGCGGUAACACCGGCAGCUCGAGUGGUGACCGCUUUUAUUGGGCCUAAAGCGUUCGUAGCCGGUUCAGUAAGUCUUUGGGCAAAUCUUCUCGCUUAACGAAAAGAAUUCCGAAGAUACUGCUGGACUUGGGGCCGAGAGAGGUUGGAGGUACUCCUGGGGUAGGGGUGAAAUCCUAUAAUCCUGGGGGGACCGCCAGUGGCGAAGGCGUCCAACCAGAGCGGACCCGACGGUGAGGGACGAAAGCCAGGGGCGCGAACGGGAUUAGAUACCCCGGUAGUCCUGGCCGUAAACGCUGCAUGCUAGGUGUUGCAUGCUCUACGGGGGCAUGCAGUGCCGAAGAGAAGUUGAUAAGCGUGCCGCCUGGGAAGUAUUAUCGCAAGGUAGAAACUUAAAGGAAUUGGCGGGGGAGCACCACAAGGGGUGGAGUCUGCGGUUCAAUUGGAUUCAACGCCGGAAAUCUCACCGGAGGCGACGGCAGGAUGAUGGCCAGGUUGAAGAUCUUGCUUGACAAGCCGAGAGGAGGUGCAUGGCCGUCGUCAGCUCGUACCGUGAG